rnacentral:rRNA from 1 species
CAGCCGCCACGGGAAUACAGAGGGUGCGAGCGUUAAUCGGAUUUACUGGGCGUAAAGCGUGCGUAGGCGGCUAAUUGAGUCGGAUGUGAAAUCCCCGAGCUUAACUUGGGAAUUGCAUUCGAUACUGGUUAGCUAGAGUGUGGGAGAGGAUGGUAGAAUUCCAGGUGUAGCGGUGAAAUGCGUAGAGAUCUGGAGGAAUACCGAUGGCGAAGGCAGCCAUCUGGCCUAACACUGACGCUGAGGUACGAAAGCAUGGGGAGCAAACAGGAUUAGAUACCCGAGUAGUCCCUGUCUCUUAUAC